AUCAGCCUACGGGGGGCAGCAGUAGGGAAUAUUGCUCAAUGGGGGAAACCCUGAAGCAGCAACGCCGCGUGGAGGAUGAAGGUUUUCGGAUUUGAAACUCCUUUUGUUAGAGAAGAUAAUGACGGUAUCUAACGAAUAAGCACCGGCUAACUCCGUGCCAGCAGCCGCGGUACUACGAAGGGUGCAAGCGUUACUCGGAAUCACUGGGCGUAAAGAGCGCGUAGGCGGGAUAGCAAGUCAGCUGUCAAAUCCUAUGGCUUAACCAUAGAACUGCAUUUGAAACUGUUAUUCUAGAUUA
rnacentral:rRNA from 1 species